rnacentral:rRNA from 1 species
GGCCUCCGAUCUAUUAGUUUGUUGGUGGGGUGAUGGCCAAGCAAGGGGUGGAUGGGUAGCCGGCGAGAGAGGCCGACCGCCCACAGAGGGAGUCAGACCCCAGCCUGAUUCGUGAGGGAGCCAGCAGUAGGGAAUAUCAAUCAAUGGGAGCAAGCCGCAGGCAGGGACGCCGAGUGAGGGAGGCCGUCCUUCGGUUAGUAUACUUCUUUCAGCAGGGAGGAAAAUAGACGGUACCUGUAGAAGAAGCACCGGCCAACUACGUGCCAGCAGCCGCGGUAAUACGUAGGGUGCGAGCGUUGUCCGGAAUUAUUGGGCGUAAAGAGCUCGUAGGCGGUCUGUCGCGUCGAAUGUGAAAACCCGGGGCUCAACUCCGGGCUUGCAUUCGAUACGGGCAGGCUAGAGUUCGGUAGGGGAGUCUGGAAUUCCUGGUGUAGCGGUGAAAUGCGCAGAUAUCAGGAGGAACACCGGUGGCGAAGGCGGGACUC